UGAGCUGGAUGGAACUUACUCAUAACUGCGACUUGAUUUACACCUGCGUUGAUACGCCAUGCUUUCCUCCUUGCAACUGAGCUGAAGAAAACUGAACACAGACAAAGCGGAUCACACAGCAAACAGUACGUUUAUCUUGUGCAGUCCUGGCUCAGGGAGUCAUCCAUGUGUAACCUGGCCUUUCACCAGAAAAACUCCAGUGACCUCUUUGGCAGCUGUCAGAAAUCAAUGGAUUGGAUGAUUCAUCUGCAGGCGCUGAGACUUCUUCUGAAAGGAAAAGAAGAAUCUUCCUUGUU